rnacentral:rRNA from 1 species
UGGGGAAUUUUGGACAAUGGGGGCAACCCUGAUCCAGCCAUGCCGCGUGUGUGAAGAAGGCCUUCGGGUUGUAAAGCACUUUCGGACGGAACGAAAUCGCGCGAUCUAAUAAGUCGCGUGGAUGACGGUACCGUAAGAAGAAGCACCGGCUAACUACGUGCCAGCAGCCGCGGUAAUACGUAGGGUGCGAGCGUUAAUCGGAAUUACUGGGCGUAAAGUGUGCGCAGGUGGCUGAGCAAGUCGAGUGUGAAAUCCCCGGGCUUAACUUGGGAAUUGCGCUCGAAACUACUUGGCUCGAGUGUGGCAGAGGAAGGUGGAAUUCCAGGUGUAGCGGUGAAAUGCGUAGAGAUCUGGAGGAACACCGAUGGCGAAGGCAGCCUUCUGGGCCAACACUGACGCUCAUGCACGAAAGCGUGGGGAGCAAACAGGAUUAGAUACCCUGGUAGUCCACGCCCUAAACGAUGAUGACUAGUUGUU